rnacentral:rRNA from 1 species
UACGUAGGGACCGAGCGUUGUCCGGAAUCAUUGGGCGUAAAGAGCGUGUAGGCGGCCUGUUAAGUCUUGCGUGAAAUCUCGGGGCUCAACCCCGAGCGGUCGUGAGAAACUGGCAGGCUAGAGUGCGGGAGAGGAGAGUGGAGUUCCUGGUGUAGCGGUGAAAUGCGCAGAUAUCAGGAAGAACACCCGUGGCGAAGGCGGCUCUCUGGAACGCAACUGACGCUGAGACGCGAAAGCGUGGGGAGCAAACAGG